UACCACGUACUGGAUAAAUUACCACUUAAAAGUCCGGAGUUUUUAUUUUGCUUGGAUUGCUAUAGACGCUGUAGAAAUCCCCUCUCCUAUUACAUUCUCAGAAUACACAGGCCACAGGGUAGUGAGAGGGGGGCUGGGGAGAUCAGUCAAAACAAGCAAAUAAUGAAAUGUGUUUUGGAGCCAUUGUGAAAAUUACAAUUCUUUUGUGUUUUAACUAGCGGUGUUUUUUCCUCACAGCUGUCACGUUUUAAAAAUCAAUCAUUUCUUCUUUUGUUGUUGCACAUAUACCUACUGAAUUAAGCAUUUUAAUAGGACGCCUUCAGUUGACACUCACCAUGUCUUAUUUGCUGUCUAUAGGCAAAAGCAGGCGUACAGGAGAAUAUCGCAGACAGAAAAACAGUCAGAGUCAACUCUAAAUAAUAAUUGAAAGUCAUUGGGCAUGACUGUCAUGGACAGCACAGUAAUUAAAUUAAAGCCUAAAUAUAGAAACCUGAAACAGUAAACAAACGUAUGGGCCAGUGUCACCUAAGAUUUUAACCAUAGCGCCACGUUUACUGCUUAUGAGUCACAGCACUCUUUAAAUAUUUGCAGAAAACUGUUUCUUUAUAUAUGUAUUUUUAGUUAAGGUAACACAGAUCAAUUUUGCUGCACUGGUAGAGCGUGGGAGUCACUAUAGUAACACAUAAUACAUCGGGUACGGAACAAUAAAAGGGACAAUUUUAGUGAAGGCAAAAAUGAAUGAAAAUGAAAAGCAUGGGGGAAUAAUGAAAUAUACAGGGGUCAGGGGUAUGCAUGUGUCUUAUGAUUUUAUUAAUUUUAUUAGAUACCGUUUUAGAAUGCCCUUUGUGCGCUAAUAAAGUAAUGUUAAUUAGCCAAUAAUUCUCUAAUCAAGUGACGUUAAAUUACAUAACUUGGCUUAAACUAUAUCUACCGUAAUUAUGUUUAACAAGAUACAUUUGUUAACUUGCAAUGCAAAUUUUACAAUACUUACUAUAGCAGGAAAUACUGUUACAGGAGAUAAUAGUCACACAUUUUUACAAAAUCGUUUUUUAUUGUGAAGCCUGUAGCCCUGUUAUCUGUUUUAUUUUAUUAAUUAAAUGUCCCCCCUUUAAAAGAAUCCUCGCAGAACGUCUAAUGUGCAGCGUCUCAGCAGAGAUCAGAAGGUCUGCAGGAUCUGCGCUCCUGCUCCACUUCGGCGGAGAAUCACGGACUGAUUUGAUGCUCUGUAUUACAUCCUGGUUAUUUUCAGUUCAGAACGGCGCCACAUUUUUGGGACGGAGCUUUUAUUCAGAAUGUAUUUUAUAUUAGCUUUGUAUUCGGGGCGCCGAUGACAGAUUUCGUCACUCGAUAGUGUCCACUUUACCCCGCAGUAGUGGCAUCCGUGGAGAAGGGGGGAUCAUGUAAUCUCAUGACUUCUGAUCGAUCCUCCCACUAAUGACCAGCGCUAUUUAUGCUGCUUAGAAUUAGCAGGCAUCGGACUACCGGAGCAGGAAGGAUUGCGCUUGGGAAAUACAACUGCGCUGAGUGACAGAGCAGACCCUUGGUGGCCAGUGCCAGCUCUGGCUGCCGCGAUGCCCUUCCUGGAGGAAAACUCUCUGUUUGGGGAGCAGCCCGUUACUCUGCCAGUGAUCAUCAUCGGGAAUGGACCAUCUGGAAUA